GUACAAAGCAGGCACCAAUCCAGACAGGAUGUAAAAGGCUUUGAUUAUCAUGCUAAGGAGCUUAUCCUGUGGAUCAUGGAGAGCCGUUCAAGGGCUUUAAGUUGGCGAUGACAAGGUUAGAGUUCUGCUUUAAAAAGAUGGCUCUGGUGAUUGCAGGGAGGAGAUCCUGGAGUGGAGAGACGAGAGGGAGAGUUUGCAAGGAUUAAAUUGUGGCACACAGAUUGAGCUCAGACAGAUGUUUGUUUAAGUAUGGGGGAAACUGGAAUUUCUACCAACUGUGUGAGGUCAGCUGGGAUAAGGAAGUCUUUUUCUAAACAGGAACAUCCAUUCUCAGGGAGCUAGAUGACAGAAAAAGCCACCGGUUCAAUGGACUUGCUUUUGUGCUGGAAGGGGCACGGAGCUUUGACUUCUCCUCGCUGGGGCUGCCUACAGGGACUUUAAAGAGGCAAUGAAGGUAAAAUGAGGUCAUUAGGAUGGACUCCGAUAUAACCGGUGUCCUUACAAGAAGAGAAGACAGGACACGCACACAAACCGAGGGUCAGCCAUGUGAGGACAGUGAGAAGGCGGCCGUCGACAUGCCAAGGAGAGAGGCCUGGGAAGAAACCAACCUUACACGUUGACAUCAGACUUCUGGUCUCCAAAACUGUAGGAAAAUAAAUUUCUCUUGUUU